rnacentral:lncRNA from 1 species
CUGGAUGCCAUGUGGAGAAUCCUUAGCUGAAUAUGGAAACCCUUCAAAUACUGAAGAGGAGAUUAUUUCAAGUGCCACAAGAUGCAGUUGUGAGAUAAAAAGAAUAGCAGAGGCCGAGGGUGGAAACUGCAAAGGUUUAACCAGGGUGAGGGUGAGAGAAGAGCAGGAGCCGCUCUGGAGUUCGGUUCAUGAAGGAGUUUCCCACUAGGUGGUAGUGAAGAGAAUCGUGUCGCACAUACUGUCAGGACUACACACCAGCCUAAAUUCUUUUCCAUUCAAGAGAAUAAAUGAGAUGGACAAAAUGGAGAUUAUUCA